UCCUUGGAAAAGGACAGCUGAGAGGGUGAAACUCCCGUCCGCCUGGUAGAAUGAGUCUUUGUCAACGAGUCGAGUUGUUUGGGAUUGCAGCUCUAAUUUGGUGGUAAAUUCCAUCUAAAGCUAAAUAUUGGUGGGAGACCGAUAGCGUACAAGUACCGUGAGGGAAAGAUGCAAAGAACUUUGAAAAGAGAGUUAAAGAGUACCUGAAAUUGCUGAAACGGAAGCGAAGGAAACCAGUGUUUGUUGGUUCAUAUUUCCUUGGCCACUUGUGGUUUGGGCG
rnacentral:rRNA from 1 species